GUAGGGGUCUAGCGUUGUCCGGAAUUAUUGGGCGUAAAGAGCUCGUAGGCGGUUCGGCAAGUCGGAUGUGAAAUCUCCACGCUUAACGUGGAGGGGCCAUUCGAAACUGCCGUGACUCGAGUCCGGUAGGGGAGUUCGGAAUUCCCGGUGUAGCGGUGAAAUGCGCAGAUAUCGGGAGGAACACCAGUGGCGAAGGCGGAACUCUGGGCCGGAACUGACGCUGAGGAGCGAAAGCGUGGGGAGCGAACAGGAUUAGAUACCCUGGUAGUCCACGCCGUAAACGUUGGGCACUAGGUGUGGGGUUCUAUCGACGGAUUCCGUGCCGUAGCUAACGCAGUAAGUGCCCCGCCUGGGGAGUACGGCCGCAAGGCUG
rnacentral:rRNA from 1 species